GGCAGUUCUCGGGUGACACACCCCAGAAUCGGGCUCCCUCCUCUCUAAUUCCAGGGUGUGUCACCCGAGAAGCA
rfam:Myotis lucifugus cont2.43258, whole genome shotgun sequence.